rnacentral:misc_RNA from 1 species
GCUCCGUUGGUGAACCAGCGGAGGGAUCAUUACCGAGUGCAAACUCAUAACCCUUUGUGAACCUAUAUCUGUUGCUUCGGCGGCUCGCUCUCGGGCGAGCCCGCCGGUAAUAUCAGUAUCUCUGUUUGAACCCGACGAUACUUCUGAGUGUUCUUAGCGAACAGUUAAAACUUUUAACAACGGAUCUCUUGGUUCUG